UACAGAGGUCUCAAGCGUUGUUCGGAUUCAUUGGGCGUAAAGGGCGCGUAGGCGGAUAUCUAAGUUGGGGGUGAAAUCCCGGGGCUCAACCUCGGAAUUGCCUUCAAAACUGGAUAUCUUGAGUUCGGGAGAGGUGAGUGGAACUCCGAGUGUAGAGGUGAAAUUCGUAGAUAUUCGGAAGAACACCAGUGGCGAAGGCGACUCACUGGCCCGAUACUGACGCUGAGGCGCGAAAGCGUGGGGAGCAAACAGG
rnacentral:rRNA from 1 species